UUUCAAUUACCUGUGGUCAGCUGUGGUCGGGCAGCAGGUGAUCAUCCUUCUGACGAGUGGUCGGAGGUCAAUGGCCUAACCCUACGUGAUUCACCUCACUUCAUCUCAUCGCGUAGACAUUUUAUCAUUUCAUCAGAAGAAAGAGUAUCAGAAUCUGGAUGCUAUGCAGACCGAGCGCUGUGUGACUCUGGGUCCCUGUUAGUAAAUUUCGAAGCCCUGGAAGGGAAGAAUUGGGAAAACCAUGGUUGUUACUCACCGUCAAAAAUGCGAGAACUCCAUGGAAAAAGACCAGAAGACGCACACACUGGAGCAUGUUGAGGAGGAGUCCACCAUUUUGGACCAUCACAUCACCAAUGGCCACAUUUCCUGCCAUUUGCAUUUGUUCCUGUUGUAUUCACGGUGAUCUGCCUGGAAGCACAAGGAGCCGACAAAUACUGUGUCUUCUAACAGAGUCAUGCCUGAGCAACUACAUAUUGAAAUAUCUAUUGUUUCAUAAUAAAUCACUCUCUCUUUAGUUCUGCUUUAUAGUAUAGUUAGAGCAUUAUAUUUGUUUUUUUAAGGUAAGCGUAUAUACAGAUGGUUUUAUUUAUGCACUUCAUUACUGAAGACUCCCCUGAGCAUUACAAAUACUUGUACUUAACAGGGGUAUAAGAUCUGACAAGCCUGGAAGAAAAAGGGAGAACCAAGUGACACAGAAUCUGGGAUCUAAAAAGACUGCUGUACUAUCUGGACUUUCUGCCCCAGGGGUGGCUCUUUGUCCCAAGCAUCUCCCGUUCUGGUGGCCUCUCUGCUGAUUCUCACUUUGGGGAUUGAAGCAGAGGAAAAACUAGGGUGGGUGUCAGCCCCUUGGCAGCAGCGAGUCCUGGUUAGGUGUCUUGAGGAGGGAAUAGGGGUCUUUGGCCACCAAAGAAUGGCUGCCAAAAACCCUUCCCAUGAGAAGGGAAAAAGUGAGAGACAAAGAGAGAUGCUGAGAAAAGGCAGCAGAAAGAGCGGGUAGGCCCAGUGGAGGCAGAGGAGGCGGAAUGACAUGCACAGGGGAGUAGAUAGAAUGGGGGCAGACAGGUAGAGGUGCCUAGGCUGGUUCCAGGUCAUUGGCUUCCAACUUUGAGGCCACUGGUAAAUGUUGUCCUGGCUAAAGCGAGUGCUCGGCGUGGGUCCAGUGCAGAGCUUGCCUUCCACCUAAUCAAAUGUCUGUUUGGGGGCGCCUGGGUGGCUCAGUCGUUAAGCAUCUGCCUUCGGCUCAGGUCAUGAUCCCAGGGUCCUGGGAUCAAGCCCCGCAUCGGGCUCCCUGCUCAGCGGGGAGCCUGCUUCUCCAUUUCUCUCUGCUCCUCCCCCCAGCUUGUGCUCUCUCUCUCUCAAAUAAAUAAAUAAAAUCUUUAUUAAAAAAAUCAAGUGUCUGGCCGCCCCCACCUCCUCGGGGAAUAAUAGCCGAUAAUACAAAUAACUCACGGCGUGUCUCACACCUGCCAUACUGCAUCCUGUUCCAGCUCCUUGAACUAGGUUUACUCACUCCUCUCAGCAGCACCCUGAGGUAGGGAGUAUUUCUAUUUCUAUUUUACUGAUGAGGAAACUGAGGCACAGUGCAGUUGAAUAAUUUGCCCAAAGUCCUGGCUAUGAAAUGGAGAUCAGGGUUCUAACCCAAGUACUUUGGCUGCUGUGGACGGUAUUCUGCUCCCCCAAGUUCAUACAUUGAAGCCCGACCCCUCCAGGUGAUGAUAUUUAGAGGUGGGCCUUUGGGAGAUAACAAGGUUUUGAUGAGGUUGUGCAGGUGGGAUCCUCAUGAUAAGAUGGGUGCCUUAGAAGAGGAGACUGGAGGGACUGCUUGCUCUCUCGCUCUCUCUCGCUCUCUCUCUCUCUGCCAUAUGAAGAUACAACACAAAGGAGGCCACGUGCAAACCAGGAGGAGAGCUCUCACCAGCACCCGACCAUGCUGGCACCUAGCCUCGAGACCUGUGAGAAAUGAAGGACUGCUGUUGAAAGCACCCAGCCGAUGGCAUGGGGCCACAGGAGCCCAAGCUAAGACCCAGGCCCACCAUGUUGCUCUUCGGGCCCCUUGGUUCUGUGUGUGGCACAGUUCCUGGUGUUGGGGCAGCUCCGGCCCUGGGAGCCGAUGUUCUGUCAUGAACGAUGACACUGGCUACUUUCAUUUUCGAUGAGGCCUAGAGUCUUCCUCUAGCAUCCUCCUGACCAGCAGUCCCCAAAUGGGGCCAU